GUGCACCCUGUGAAGACAGCGAGACCCUCUUCACGGCAGAGUUGCCCUGAAGCAGGCCCCGUGGCCCGAAAAUGCGAGCGCUGUGCGCACGUGCUGCCCACCGUUGCUGGCUUGGUGCGUCACAUCGAAAGAAAGAGUGCAGAGGUGAGAGAGCAAGAGUGAUGGACGGAAGGGGCGCGAAGAAAUCCCAUAGCAGUGAGCCCCACAGCGCAUGUGUGCAUAGCAUGCGGCAUCUUCGGCAUCUGUCCAGGGCUGCACUGAUGAGGCACAGAUGCCGGAAGCAUCACGAGAGCAGCCCGAGCUGCACCAUCCGGGCCCUCCCGACUCCCCAUGCGGAGGGUCUCCAUAUUAUGGGAUGCCGCGGCGUGAAGCGACCGAGGGCGAAGCAUGGCACGCAGACAGGGGGUGCGCAGGGCCACCGAGGACCCUGACCUGAGGCUGGCCAACGUCCUCCUCGAGCUCAUCCGGCAUGUCACCUUGACCACUCCCCUAUUACCCGCACGACAGACGCCGCCGCCUCCGCCCUCGAGCAGGAGCAUGGGCGCGGCCCGCGUUGGAUCAGGCCAUGCAGCUCACCCAUGUCCGUGGGACGCCCGCCGCGCAGCACGCACCCGAGGAAGGGACGAGCAAGGACAGGAAGUGCCCGUGCGGCGUAUGGCCCGAUGCGAAGGCAGGCGGCUCGUCCUAGACGCCCAGGAUGCAGCCGUAACCCCCCCCCCCCCCUACAGAGACGGGUGGGCUGCGGUUGUAUGCGCCAAUCGGAGGACUCGCUCGCGGUGGAGUCACGCGCGCUGACACGGAAAAUGAAGUGCAUCUUUGCUGCCAAGCAGAAGCCGUUUUUUCGACACUUUGUUUCUCAAACGCCCUCCCGCCUGGGCACCUCUUGCCCUUCCAACAUGUCUUGCCCUCGUGCGGCCAACGGCCCAGGGCCGCGGCGCCCGCAUCCCAUGCCGUACUUCAGCUGUUCGAAGAGUUCCUUGUGGCCGGUCUUCUAACGCGAGCUUUCGCGUUCUGCUUUUUUUUCUCUGCUCCACGUACUUUGGGAGGUGUAGGCAAGAGGCCCGCAUACGCAGACAGGGUGUACGAAACCGAUUCUAAAAGCAGCAUACAGGCAUACUACGCCUGGCAGAAAACGUGGCUGCUGCUUCACAGGAAUGCGAACGAAGGAAAAAGAGUGCGUUGGGCGUUCUUCGUCUUCCGCUUUUCGUCGAAUAGUGGCGGAAGUAGAUGUGUUGUCCUUGCAUUUUUUUCAUGCUUCUGCUCUAAUAUUAUGUCGGCGUCUUCGUUCUCGCCGACUGCCUGCUCCGCUCUCCACCUCUCUUUUUCUUCCAGUGGCUGUUUUUUUUUUUGCGUGAUCAGCCCCACAACGCUGCGCACCCGGGCUCAUUUCUGUUGUUUAGUCGCUUGUGUGCGUCUGUUUUUGUCUGUGAUGUGGCUGGUGUCCGCUUUUCGCCGUUCGAAUUUCGUUUUCAUUGUGUCGGGUCCGCUGUUCCACCCCACCUUUUUUUUUUCAUCUUCGACUCUCUCGGCGGCUUUUCUCGUCUCUGUUCGCCUACCGCUGUUCCUUUCCUUCUUCAGCGCGCCCUCGUGUGUAUGUGUAUCAUAUCGCUGAAAGAGAGUCGCGUAUCGCUGUGCAUCUUUCUUUGAGCCACGCAUAAAAGAACAAAAAAAGAAGUGAAUGGCGUGCCGAAAAUGUAGCUACGGAAAACGGCAGCAGUGCCCGCGCAACAUCAGUGCUGGUCUUUUCUUUUUCUAUUUCGUUUGUGCUCCGCAGAUCAGCGGCACUCAAGGCGGGUGCAGAAAGCGAGCAUGUGCGUCAUUGUGCGGAGUUGAUGUUGACUUUUUUGCUUUCGAGAAACGGUAAGGGCUGCGGGCGUGCGUGUGGAGGCCGGUGCCGAGUCGACAAAGACACGAUCACAGGUGGGAUUGCCUCGUGUCUCAUGGCGUGGGCAGAUGUGUAUACGAACACGCACACACACCUCAUUCCUACACAUAAACACAAGCGCAAAAGUGUUGGACAGAGUGGAUCUCUUUUCGGUGCCCAUCUCUAUGCACCAAACCCCCUUUUCGGAACGGAUAUAGCAUUCUUCGCUCUUUUCGUUUUCUGAUCUUGUCCCUCUAUGGGCUGUUUCGUCUUCCUUUCUCCCCCUUUUCGUGGUAAUGCUGUGCUUUUCCUGUGCGCACGCUCCCCCCGUCGUCUCCCCGAUUUCUUGUUUGCGUGUGCAUUGUUUCUCUCUUUCCCCCUAGCGAGAGGUCAAGCGCUCGAGGAGGCGUGCAUCAGGGAGAGGCAGCGUCGUGACUUGUGUCUCAGGUUUUAAUCUCCUUUUUUCUCCGGUGUCAUUGUAUUCCUUCCGCUCUGGUGCUCACCGUGUCAGCUUUGCUGUAAGUUUCGCUCGUUCUCGUUGCCUUCCCCCGCUCCUCCUCCCCGACGCAGCGCCUCCCGAGCGCCCUCUUCUUCUCUCUGCGCCGCUGCCUGUUUCCUUCUUCUGCUUUCUGCUCUUCGCCGCAUCACGCAUCGUCGUUCUAUUAUUUUGCUUUUCUCCUUUUCCUUCGCUUGCAAGAUCCUGCGCAUGCGCGCAUGCUCGCUUCUCUUGCCCACCGGAUUGAAUUUGUUUGGUACUCUUGCGUCUCUUCAAUCGUCAGCGCAGCGGCGCUGUCUGUAAGUGUGGGUGCGUCGUUGCGGGCACAUCUUGGAUCUCGGCAGCCGCCACAGCCAUUCAGCACGCGCGCCUCUUUACUCUUCAACACAAGGCGUGCUUGUGUGCGAUGCCCUUAUUUUGUUUGUGUUUUCUUGUUUUUGUUUUGCGUUUCUUUUUUUUCUACUUCAGAUGUAUGCUCCUCUCAUCAAUGUGCGCGUCUUUGCCCAUGUAUGCGUGUGUGCCUCUUUAUACCUAUGUGUGUGUGUGUGCUCCUGGAGGCGCGCAGGUAUGUAGACACUAUCUAGUGCGUUUGUUCGCUUGUUUGUUGUGCUUUUUAUUAUUAUUAUAUUUUUGACUUCGCUAUUUCUCAUUUUUCUUGUGUGGCGCCGUUCCUUCUUUUUUUUUUUUCGUGUUGUUGCUGCUUUGCAUGUAUGUGCAUCCUCCUAACAACAUUUUCUGUCUUUUUUUUUUGUUUGCGUGCGUGCGUGUGCACGUGUAGAAAUAGCAGCAUGCCGAGUGUUAAAGGUACCCGCUGAAAUUGACACACUUACACACACACACACACGUGCUCUCGUAUAGUCGCAAGACAGUCUGUUGUGAGUUCCGCGGCAACGGAAAGAGCGACAUACACAGCGAGGAGGAGGGGAGAGUCACAGGGGGGGGGCGUGUAGGCAGGUAGAGGACGGGCGGCGCAGCCAAACAAGCAUGAGACGAGGGAGUGAGCUGAAGUAAGCCAGCUCACUGCACUUGAAUCCUUGUUCUCCAUUGCUGCUUCCGCGCCGAUCACUCUUCCGCCUUUGCCUUCUGAGCGUAUACGUCUCUGUGUCUCCCCUCUAUCCUUGCUUCUCUCUCGUUGUUCGGUCUGACUUUUACUUUCUCUCUUCUCCUUGUCUGCGUACUUGUGCGACUGUUCUCGUGCUUUCGGCUCGGUGAGACCGACGUGGACACGUUGCGUAUCUGCAGCAGGUGCACUUAAACAG
rnacentral:misc_RNA from 1 species